rnacentral:rRNA from 1 species
GACGAACGCUGGCGGCGUGCUUAACACAUGCAAGUCGAACGGAGUGGCGAACGGGUGAGUAACACGUGGGUGAUCUGCCUUGCACUUCGGGAUAAGCUUGGGAAACUGGGUCUAAUACCGGAUAGUGCAAGAUGAGCUCGCGGCCUAUCAGCUUGUUGGUGGGGUAAUGGCCUACCAAGGCGUCGACGGGUAGCCGGCCUGGGAGGGUGUACGGCCACAUUGGGACUGAGAGACGGCCCAGACGCCUACGGGAGGCAGUAGUGGGGAGUAUUGCGCAAUGGGCGGACGCGAGAUGCAGCGACGCUGGGUGGGGAAUGAAGGCCUUCUGGUUGUAAACUCCUGUCGACAGGGACGCGGUACCUGUAUAAGAAGCACCGGCUAACUACGUGCCAGCCGCCGCGGUAAUUC